GAUGAACGCUGGCGGCGUGCCUAAUACAUGCAAGUCGAGCGAACAGACGAGGAGCUUGCUCCUCUGACGUUAGCGGCGGACGGGUGAGUAACACGUGGAUAACCUACCUAUAAGACUGGGAUAACUUCGGGAAACCGGAGCUAAUACCGGAUAAUAUAUUGAACCGCAUGGUUCAAUAGUGAAAGACGGUUUUGCUGUCACUUAUAGAUGGAUCCGCGCCGCAUUAGCUAGUUGGUAAGGUAACGGCUUACCAAGGCAACGAUGCGUAGCCGACCUGAGAGGGUGAUCGGCCACACUGGAACUGAGACACGGUCCAGACUCCUACGGGAGGCAGCAGUAGGGAAUCUUCCGCAAUGGGCGAAAGCCUGACGGAGCAACGCCGCGUGAGUGAUGAAGGUCUUCGGAUCGUAAAACUCUGUUAUUAGGGGAGAACAAAUGUGUAAGUAACUAUGCACGUCCUGACGGUACCUAAUCAGAAAGCCACGGCUAACUACGUG
rnacentral:rRNA from 1 species